rnacentral:lncRNA from 1 species
UGAGGUUGAUGUUGAUGUUAUAAUGAGUUUUAUAGGGACUUUCUUGAUGUAAAACUAUACAUUUUUAUUUUUUUUUGUUUAAUAUGGUAUUUCCAUUUUAAUAUAAUUUACUACCAUUUUAAGAUAGAUGUACAUUUUAAGAUAGAUGCUUAAAUCUUAAUGUUCUUUUUCUAUUUUUUAAAAUGUUUAUUUCCAUUUCUUAAAUUUUUUACGUAAUAUCUAUAUUUUAUAUUUUAAAAUAGAUAUUUAAAUCUUAAUGUACUUUUUCCAUUUUUUCAAAUUGUGUAUUAACUUAUAUUAUAUAUUUUACAUUUUAAGAUAGAUGCUUAAUGCUUAAUGAACUUUUUCCAUUUUUUUAAAAAAGUUGUGUAUUUACUUAUUAUUAUAUAGAUAAUUCAUAUAUUAUAUAUUUACAUUAUUUACUUAUUAUUUAUUGAUAAUUCAUAUAUUAUAUAUAUUUAAUGCUUAAUGUUUAUUUCCACUUCAUGACUUUUUAUUUACUUAAUAUCUCUAUUUUACAUUUUAAGAUAGAUGUUUAAAUCUUAAUGUACGUUUUCCUUUUUUUUUUAAAAUUGUAUAUUUCCAUUUGUUAUACUUUCUAUUUACGUAAUAUCUAUAUUUUAAAUUUUAAGAUAUAUUUUUAAAUCUUAAUGUAAUUUUCCAUUUUUUAAAUUGGGUAUUUACUUAUAUUAUAUAUUUACUUAUGAUUUAUUUUUCUUUAUAUUGUGUAUUUCUAUUUCUUAUACUUUCUAUUUACUAAUAAUUUUAUAUUUUAAGAUAGAUUUACAUUUUAAGAUAGAUAUUUAAAUACUAAUGUACUUCUUCCAUUUUUUUAAAUUGUGUAUUUCCUUUUCUUAUACUUUCUAUUUGGGUAAUAUCUAUAUUUUACAUUUUAAGAUAGAUGUUUAAAUCUUAAUAUACUUUUUCCAUUGUUUUUAAGUUGUGUAUUUCUUUUUCUUAUAGUUUAUAUUUACUUAAUAUCCAUAUUUUACAUUUUAAGAUAGAUGUUUAAAUCUUAAUGUAUUUUUCCAUUUUUAAUGUAAAACGGCAAUGUUUAAUACAAGAACUUGGACAAAUAGUCAAAUAGUUAUAUUUAUGUUUUUUUUUCUUUUUUAUAUAAAAUGGUAAUGUUACAUUAUGAAGAUAAGCCAUUUCUUUUAGUGAAAAUGGUAAUCUUACAUAUGUUUAAUGUAGUUUUUCUAUUUUUUUAUGUUGUAUGUUUACUUAUUAUUGUUAUUUUUAAAUGUAAAAUGGUAAUCUUACAUAUGAUUAAUGUAUUAUUUCCAUUUUUUAUGUUGUAUGUUUACAUAUUAUUUAUUAUUUUCUAAAUUAUAUAUGGAGAUAAACCGUCUUUUUUUUAGUGAAAAAUGGUAUUUUACAUAUGUUUAAUGUAGUUUUUCCAUUUUUAUGUUGUAUGUUUACAUUUUAUUUUUUAAAAAUAAAAAUGUAAAAUGAUAAUCUUACAUAUGUUUAAUGUAGUAUUUCCAUUUUUUAUGUUGUAUUUUUACAUAUAUUUAUUAUUUGCAAAAUUAUAUAGAAUGUUUUUUGUUUUUUUUAUAAAACGGUAAUGUUACAUUAUGAAGAUAAGCCGUUUUUUUUUAAGUGAAAAAUGAUAAUCUUACAUAUUUUUAAUGUAGUUUUUCCAUUUUUUGUGCUGUAUGUUUACAUAUUAUUUAUAAUUUUCGAAAAUUAGUAAAAUUAAAAUGUAAAACUAUAUUUUAUGCAACUUGUCAUCUUUCGGGAGAAGUUUUUUUUGCUGAUGUGGACGCUCUAUGGAGCCUUAAAAGGUCAAUUUUAUUAGUAUUUUUUUUAUAAAACGGUAAUGUUACAUUAUGGAGAUAAACCGUCUUUUUUUUAAGUGAAAAAUGGUAAUCUUACAUAUCUUUAAUGUAGUUUUUUCAUUUUUUAUGCUGUAUGUUUACAUAUUAUUUAUAAUUUUCGAAAAUUAGUAAUAUUAAAAUGUAAAACUAUAUUUUAUGCCACGUGUCAUCUUUCGGGAGAAGUUUUUUUGCUGAUGUGGACGCUCUAUGGAGUCUCAAAAGGUCCCUUUUAUUAGUAUAGAUUUUUAAUGUAGUUUUUCCAUUUUUUGUGCUGUAUGUUUACAUAUUAUUUAUAAUUUUCGAAAAUUAGUAAAAUUAAAAUGUAAAACUAUAUUUUAUGCAACUUGUCAUCUUUCGGGAGAAGUUUUUUUUGCUGAUGUGGACGCUCUAUGGAGCCUUAAAAGGUCAAUUUUAUUAGUAUUUUUUUUAUAAAACGGUAAUGUUACAUUAUGGAGAUAAACCGUCUUUUUUUUUAAGUGAAAAAUGGUAAUCUUACAUAUCUUUAAUGUAGUUUUUUCAUUUAUUAUGCUGUAUGUUUACAUAUUAUUUAUAAUUUUCGAAAAUUAGUAAUAUUAAAAUGUAAAACUAUAUUUUAUGCCACGUGUCAUCUUUCGGGAGAAGUUUUUUUGCUGAUGUGGACGCUCUAUGGAGCCUCAAAAGGUCCCUUUUAUUAGUAU